ACUUAAUCAGCACUCACUUCUAUUCGCAUUAAAUCCGGCCUGAAGUGAAGCGCCGUUCUGAAAAGCGCCUAAAUCCGACUCAGUGCUCAGUUCGAUGGAUGUCGUUCUUUCUGUCUGUCUUCUCUUGUCUUGUCUGGCAGACGUGCUGUCCGACAUCCUGCUGAAACAGCCGGACUCAGCAGUGGUAAAGCCCGGGGAGACGCAUAGACUGGCCUGUGCAACCAGUGGUUUCGAUAUAAACGACUACUACAUGUCCUGGGUGAAACAGGUCUCUGGGAAAGGGCUAGAAUCGUUGGUAAGUUAUGAUAGUGAAUAUACAAAAUACUACGCGCCUGGAGUCGAGAGCCGGUUCACCGCUUCCAAGGAGAGCAGCAACUUUUAUUUACAAAUGAACGAUCUGAGGCUGGACGACACGGCCACCUAUUACUGUGCGCGAGCCACAGUGAAAAAGACUGCGACUGGAACAAGUCAAAAACGCACCGAGAGAACUUGCCCUUGGAACGCUGAGGGAAAGGGCAAGAGUGAUCACCGCAGCUCGAUCCCAAUAUUUCUGGACAGGUGCGGUCGUGCACGCAAGGUAGGACAUGUCGUGAGAGAGGAGGUUCUGGAUGGAUGGGCCAAGGGGUCCGCAGAAUCACAUCACACUGCAAUUCUGAGUCAAGUGUCAUUGUUACGGGGCCACCUAUACGUGUACUUGAUGGCGGGCCGGGCAUUCGGCCAAAUGCUACGAAACAACAAAAAACAACUAAAUUGA